rnacentral:ncRNA from 1 species
UUACAAUAUAAUAGGAACACUCAUAUAAUCGCGUGGAUAUGGCACGCAAGUUUCUACCGGGCACCGUAAAUGUCCGACUAUGGGUGAGCAAUGGAACCGCA